AUAGACCAACACCCCGCAGAAAAAAGACAAUACCCCUCGGCAGAGAAAGUGCACAGUGCAUACAGUUAAUAAAGUACUGAACUCAUACUGAUAAUACUACUAUAAAACUGAUACUGAUAAUAAAACUACUGCUGAUAAUAAACCCACAUUGAACUCAAAUUCACUGAUUCAUGGUACAUUUAUUACAUUCUUUAACAGUUGACUUUAACAUUGGAGGAAAGAGGGGAAAUGAUUCAAAUGAUAAAGACAGACAUUGUGAAUAUUAAUGUUCAGAAGCUUUUAGAAGGACGUACUUGUAAUGUGGUCAAACAUCUCAUGAUUUACCUAAAAAAUACAGGAUUGAUGGAAAGAAUAUUAUUAAUUUCUAAAUGUCCUAGUUUGUCAUAUACUGCUCCACACUCCAGUCUCGUAUGUGACAUUAAUGCACCUUUAAAAUCAACCACCAAUCAAAUCAGAAGAAGAAGAAGCUUUCCUACAAGAAAAAUCUUGAUCCAUACUUUAUUCCAGUUGGUAGCGGUAGUGCACCAAACAGUUAGGCUGCAAUCCGCCAAUAAACACCAAAGAAGAGGAGCAGAAGCGCCAGUUCUUCAGUUUGGCGGUUUUCUGAGCUCACAAGUGCAAGCAUCAAAGCAUCAGGAAGAAGAUAAAUCUGCAGAGACAGAGUUUAUUGAAGGACAGAGAGAACAUGAAGAUCCAGAACCCUGCAGAAUCAAACACACUGAAGAACAAACAGGUUGUGUUUAUUUUUCAUCCUUCAGUAAUGAGGCUGAAGAACAUUUAAAGUUAACCCUUUUGCAUCAUAUUUCUACAACUUUUAAAAAAUGUAUUUAUAUUGUAAUUUUUUUACUUUAA
rnacentral:lncRNA from 1 species